rnacentral:rRNA from 1 species
GACAGAGGGUGCGAACGUUGUUCGGAAUUACUGGGCGUAAAGCGCAUGUAGGCGGCAGCGCAAGUCGGGCGUGAAAUCCCACGGCUCAACCGUGGAAGUGCACUCGAAACUGCGCAGCUAGAGUCCGGAAGAGGAGAGUGGAAUCCUGGAUGUAGCGGUGUAAAUGGCGCAGAGUAUACAGGAAGAACACCCGUGGCGAAAGCGGCU